rnacentral:lncRNA from 1 species
GCAGUGGUCUGAAAUUGAACUCACAAUAUUUCUGAGGCAUGCCUGUACUGCCCUCUCCCAAGAAUGCCUACGUGACCAGCCCUCAGACUGGAUCUUCUGCUUCCAAAUUAUGUUUGCAGUUCAUGUAGCAGGCAUAACAGACUUCGAUCCUAAUAGUUGCCUUCUUGCAAUCUCUAGUAGCUGCAGCAACCUCCCACUGCAGAUGUCUAUUGUGAAUCUGGGCCCCUGGCCCUUGGUCUACAUCUCACGUGCAUUCAGCCUUCUUGCACUUCCAGCCUCUUCUCCUUGUGGCUUUCUUGCCCUGCCACUUUGCUUAUGUGCACUGUGGCCAAAGCUAAGGCACCAGGGAGCAUCAAGAAAAGACAAACAUCUGUGAGUUGGAUAUGUGCCAAUAUUUAUAUUCUCUUAUACCUCAAUGCCCUGUGCUAGAGUGUCAGAGAGGAAACGCAGAAUGCAGCCAUACUUCUUUUCAAUCUACUGGUCAAAUUUGGGUGGUUCAAGUGAUCUGAAACUGAGCUCACAAUAUUUCUGAGGCAUGCCUGUACUGCCCUCUCCCAAGAAUGCCUAGGUGACCAGCCCUCAGACUGGAUCUCCUGCCUCCAAAUUAUGUGAGAGACUGAGAGCUCUCUCUCUUCAUUUCCUCGUAAGGCCACCAAACCUGUCAGCGCCUACUUACCUGACCAUUGUCUCAACUACAGCUGAUGGGACCCAUGAUAGAGGCUUAACCAAAACUAGCCCAUGAGAUUCUUAUUCUCAGGAAUGUAGAAAUGAGGCAGAGGUUAGCCACUGUCCGUGUGCUCUGGAGCUAAAUGCAUGUAAGUGUAAGGGUCCUCUUCUGUCCUAAGCUGACACAGGCUGCAGAGAAAAGUGGUUGAUGCUGCCAAUCAGAGAGAAGCAGAUGCAGGAGCCAUGCAGCCUGGAAGGCGAGAGGAGGGCCAAGAAAAUGAGCUUGGUUUCCAAGGGGUUCCGCAAUUGCUAUUUUCGGUGGCUGCUGAGCCCAGGUGCUGUUUCUUCACUUGAGCUCCAUGACCCUCCCUGUGCGGCGGGUUGAAUGGUGACCUCCAAAAGAUAUGUCCACCUGGAACCUCAGAAUAAGAUCUUAUUUGGAAUAGUCUUUGUAGAUGUCAGUAAGGUGAAGAUCUGGAGAUGAGACCCUCCUGGAUUACGGUGGGCCCUGAGUCCACUGGCAGGUGUGCUUCUCGGGGACCGAAAAGGGGAAGACAGGGCCACACAGAGGAGGAGACGGAGGCAGAGAUUGGAGUGAUGCUGAGACAGGCUAGGCCAAGGUCCGCCAAGGGCUGCCAGGCAGCCACCGGAAGCUGGGAGAGAGUCAAGCAAGGACCCCCCGCCGAGCCUUCCGAGGGAGCGCGGCCUGCUGACACCUGGGUGUCAGACUUCUGGCCUGCAGACUGUCAGAAUAAGCUCCUGUUGUUUUAAGCCACCUGGUUUAUGAUAAUUUCUUGCAGCAGACAUAGCAAAUUAAUAGACCCCAUAGUCCUGUAAUUCAUUUUGCUUAAAUGAGCAUGAAUAAGAUUUAGUUUUACUAAUAAAUAAAAGUUACUUCACUAAGA